UUUUUCAAAGAAGUUCCAUCUAAAUAUGUGUUAUGCAUUCUGUUGUUGCCGUAAUUUAGCCCAGAUAUGAUUUAUCGCGUUUGAUUGAAAAAAAAGAUAUAUAUAUAUAUAGUCCGACUAUGAUACUUUUAAAAAUACAAAAUAAUUAGUACUUAUAAAUUUUCUGUCAUUAGAUCUAUCUUUUCAAUUAUUUUUUUCUGUUAGAUUAUACUAGUCAACCAACUAUUCAUUCAAAAUUAAAAAAUAACUAUUAUCUUAUUCGUUUACUAUCGAUAGCAUUUCAGUUCAACUUUCUCCCUCUCUCUCUCUCUCUCUCU
rnacentral:lncRNA from 1 species